AGAGUUUGAUCCUGGCUCAGGAUGAACGCUAGCUACAGGCUUAACACAUGCAAGUCGAGGGGCAUCAUGGCGGUUGCUUGCAACCGCCGAUGGCGACCGGCGCACGGGUGAGUAACGCGUAUCCAACCUGGCCGUUGCCACGGCACAGCCCGCCGAAAGGCGGAUUAAUGCGGUAUGAGGCGCUUCGAUGGCAUCAGAAGAGCGCCAAAGCUUCGGCGGCAGCGGAUGGGGAUGCGUCCGAUUAGGCAGCAGGCGGGGCAACGGCCCACCUGGCCGACGAUCGGUAGGGGUCCUGAGAGGGAGGCCCCCCACACUGGGACUGAGACACGGCCCAGACUCCUACGGGAGGCAGCAGUGAGGAAUAUUGGUCAAUGGGCGGAAGCCUGAACCAGCCAAGUAGCGUGCGGGACGACGGCCCUAUGGGUUGUAAACCGCUUUUUCACGGGGAUAAAGUGCGCCACGUGUGGCGCUUUGCAGGUACCGUGCGAAUAAGGACCGGCUAAUUCCGUGCCAGCAGCCGCGGUAAUACGGAAGGUCCGGGCGUUAUCCGGAAUCAUUGGGUUUAAAGGGAGCGUAGGCCGCAUGUCAAGCGUGCUGUGAAAUCCCGGGGCUCAACCCCGGAAGCGCAGCGCGAACUGGCGUGCUUGAGUUGCAUCGAGGCAGGCGGAAUUCGUGGUGUAGCGGUGAAAUGCUUAGAUAUCACGAAGAACCCCGAUUGCGAAGGCAGCCUGCCAGUUGCACACUGACGCUGAUGCUCGAAGGCGCGGGUAUCGAACAGGAUUAGAUACCCUGGUAGUCCGCGCGGUAAACGAUGGAUGCCCGCCCUUGGGCCGCUUAGGUUCAGGGGCCAAGCGAAAGCGUUAAGCAUCCCACCUGGGGAGUACGCCGGCAACGGUGAAACUCAAAGGAAUUGACGGGGGCCCGCACAAGCGGAGGAACAUGU
rnacentral:rRNA from 1 species